CAGCCGCCGCGGUAAUACGUAGGGUGCGAGCGUUAAUCGGAAUUACUGGGCGCAAAGCGUGCGCAGGCGGUUAUAUAAGACAGAUGUGAAAUCCCCGGGCUCAACCUGGGACCUGCAUUUGUGACUGUAUAGCUAGAGUACGGUAGAGGGGGAUGGAAUUCCGCGUGUAGCAGUGAAAUGCGUAGAUAUGCGGAGGAACACCGAUGGCGAAGGCAAUCCCCUGGACCUGUACUGACGCUCAUGCACGAAAGCGUGGGGAGCAAACAGGAUUAGAUACCCCUGUAGUCCCUGUCUCUUUACA
rnacentral:rRNA from 1 species